AAUAAACGAAUUUACAUGCUUUUGAUAGAAUUUUUAACCCUUCGUCUUAUUUAAAAAAAUUUUAUGAUUAAUAUUUUUAUUGUUACUACAUGAUAAAUAUAAAUAAUACUUUAUAUAUGACUAACUUUUUUUAAUUUAAUAAAUUUUUCAAAUAAGAUGGAUGGUCAAACGUUUGACGUGAAGCC
rnacentral:pre_miRNA from 1 species